CCGGUAAGGCUAAAUACUCCUAUAUGACCGAUAGUGAACCAGUACCAUGAGGGAAAGAUGAAAAGAACCGCGGGAGCGGAGUGAAAUAGAUCCUGAAACCGUAUGCUUACAAAAAGUCAGAGCACAUUAAGGUGUGAUGGCGUGCCUUUUGUAGAAUGAACCGGCGAGUUAUCUUUGCAUGCGAGGUUAAGCAGACAAUGCGGAGCCGUAGCGAAAGCGAAUCUUAAUAGGGUGGCAAGUAUGUAGAGAUAGACCCGAAGCCGUAGUGAUCUAGUCAUGAGCAGGUUGAAGGCUGGGUGAAUCCAGCUGGAGGACCGAACCGACCCCCGUUGAAAAGUUGGCGGAUGACUUGUGAUUAGCGGAGAAAUUCCAAUCGAACACGGCGAUAGCUGGUUCUCCCCGAAAUAGCUUUAGGGCUAGCGUUGAACGAAUCUACCCGGAGGUAGAGCACUGAAAUCAUGCGGGCGGCAUCUCGCCGUACCAAAUGAUAUCAAACUCCGAAUGCCGGGCAAGAAUAUUCAGCAGUCAGACUGUGGGUGAUAAGGUCCAUGGUCAAAAGGGAAACAGCCCAGAUCAUCAGAUAAGGUCCCAAAAUUUACGCUAAGUGGAAAAGGAUGUGGAGACGCGCAAACAGCUAGGAGGUUGGCUCAGAAGCAGCCAUCAUUCAAAGAGUGCGUAACAGCUCACUAGUCGAGUAUCUCUGCGCCGAAAAUUAACCGGGGCUAAGCGUAAUACCGAAUCUAUGGAUUUAUACUUAGGUAUAAGUGGUAGGGGAGCGUUCCAUACAGCAUUGAAGGUAUACCGUAAGGAGUGCUGGAGCGUAUGGAAGUGAGAAUGCCGGUGUGAGUAGCGAGAUGUGGGUGAGAAUCCCACACACCGAAAAACCAAGGUUUCCAGGGGAAGGUUCGUCCGCCCUGGGUAAGUCGGGACCUAAGGCCAGGCCGAAAGGCGUAGUCGAUGGACAGCAGGUUGAUAUUCCUGCACCCGCGAGUAAAGUGAUGGAGUGACAGAUAGGGUUAACCCAAGUCCUGAAUGGAUUGGGCAAGGCAAGCAGGAGAGUGGCGUAGGCAAAUCCGCGCCGGAUACUCAAAGGCUUGACUCAAGCGAACGCGCGAGCAAGUAGUGAAGAGGGUGAUACCAGGUCUCAAGAAAAGCUUCUAGCGAUAAUUUACUAGCGGCCCGUACCAAAACCGACACAGGUGGUUGAGGCGAGUAGCCUAAGGUGAGCGAGAGAACUGUUGCCAAGGAACUCGGCAAAUUGACCCCGUACGUUAGCAAUAAGGGGUGCUCGAAAGAGCCGCAGUGAAUAGGCCCUAGCAACUGUUUAACUAAAACAUAGCUCUCUGCGAAGUCGCAAGACGAAGUAUAGGGGGUGACACCUGCCCGGUGCUGGAAGGUCAAGGGGAUUUGUCAGACGCAAGUCGAAGCAUUGAACCGAAGCCCCAGUGAACGGCGGCCGUAACUAUAACGGUCCUAAGGUAGCGAAAUUCCUUGUCGGGUAAG
rnacentral:rRNA from 1 species